rnacentral:lncRNA from 1 species
CCCGUGGCCAUCCUCCCUCUGGGCACAGGGAAUGACUUGGCCCGCUGUUUACGCUGGGGAGGAGGUUACGAGGGCGGCAGUUUGCUCAAGUUUCUGCGGGGCAUCGAGCACAGCACAGAGGUGGUGUUGGACCGCUGGAACAUCGACAUUGUCCCUGAUGAUAAAGAGGAGAAGGGAGACCCGGUGCCCUACAGCAUCGUCAACAACUACUUCUCUAUAGGAGUGGACGCCUCCAUCGCACACCGUUUCCACCUAAUGCGGGAAAAGCACCCAGAGAAGUUCAACAGCAG